AGCAUUGGAACCACCUGAUCCCAUCCCGAACUCAGCAGUGAAACGAUGCAUCGCCGAUGGUAGUGUGGGGUUUCCCCAUGUGAGAGUAGGUC
rnacentral:rRNA from 3 species